AGCCUUAAGUAUAUAUUUUAGGUAAACCUGCCCAGUGUAAUAUAUUAACGGCCGCAGUACCUUGACUGUGCUAAGGUAGCAUAAUCAGUUGGCUUUUAAAUGGAGUCGGGAAUGAAUGGAUUAAUAGGGUUAAGCUGUCUCUUCUGUAAUUUGUUGAAUUUAUUUAUUAGGUGAAAAUACCUAUAAUAAGAAAAAAGACGAGAAGACCCUAGGAGUUUUUACUAAGCACUAUUUUUUUUUUAGUGAUCGUUUUUGUUGGGGCGACAUAGGAGUAAGGGAACCUCCUUUUAGUAUUUGUCGACUUUUGUAGGUAUAAUUAAACUACCCUAGGGAUAACAGCGUAAUUUUUUUUAAGCUUGCGACCUCGAUGUUGGACUAGGAAUUUGGUAGGCUAGUCGCCUACUUAUAUUGUUCUGUUCGAACUUAUUUCCUACAU
rnacentral:rRNA from 1 species